GAUGAACGCUGGCGGCGUGCCUAAUACAUGCAAGUCGAGCGAACAGACGAGGCGCUUGCUCCUCUGACGUUAGCGGCGGACGGGUGAGUAACACGUGGAUAACCUACCUAUAAGACUGGGAUAACUUCGGGAAACCGGAGCUAAUACCGGAUAAUAUAUUGAACCGUAUGGUUCAAUAGUGAAAGACGGUUUUGCUGUCACUUAUAGAUGGAUCCGCGCUGCAUUAGCUAGUUGGUAAGGUAACGGCUUACCAAGGCAACGAUGCGUAGCCGACCUGAGAGGGUGAUAGGCCACACGGGAACUGAGACACGGUCAAGACUCCUACGGGAGGCAGCAGUAGGGAAUCGUCCGCAAUGGGCGAAAGCAUGACGGAGCAACGCCGCGUGAGUGAUGAAGGUCUUCGGAUCGUAAAGCUCUGUUAUUAGGGAAGAACAAAUGUGUAAGUAACUAUGCACGUCUUGACGGUACCUAAUCAGAAAGCCACGGCUAACUACGUG
rnacentral:rRNA from 1 species